CAACUGCCCAAACCCCUUUUGCUACCAAUAAAUUGCUGAUUUAGGGUUUCACAUUUUAUGUAGUUUACAUUUCAAAUUCUGCAUCACUUCAUCACCUUCGACAUUUAACUUCAACAACACACAGAAAGGGGAAAAAUGUAUGCACCUCCACAGUACCAAGAAACAAGUUAUGUGGAACACGUUCGCAGACGCCACCAAGAAAAGGGAUGCCUUUACGCUUGUUUGUUCGCCUUCUGCUGCUGCUUCUGCUGCUAUGAGACCUGUGAGUGCUGUUUGGAUGUGUUAUGUUGCUGCUGCCCCUAGAUAAGAGUGACCAUAUACUCCCUUCUCUCUGUAUCUAUCUAUCUAAAAGUAAUAAUUACAGAAGAACAUGAGACUUUCUGAUAUGAGUGUGUUACUUUUGACUUAUGGUUGUGAUAAGUUUUUUUUUUGCAAAAUUACUUUAUGAUCAAGGAGGCA
rnacentral:sRNA from 1 species